UUAAUAGUUUGUUUACACAGUCUUCAUUAAUGCUCUAGCUGUUUCAGUUUGUUAAUAUUCACCCCAGUAAGUCACUAUUUCUUGAUUGAUAAACGACUGAACUAAUUCAGUAUAUUUUAUUCAGUCAGAGUACCAGUUUGGGGCCCAGUUCCCCAGUAAGCAGUACAGCAAUCUGUAUGUGAGAGAGAGAGAAAACAAGGGACAAAGGUUGAUGGAGAAGCUCAGGAAGAGACAAGACAGUCACACUGGAAAACAUCUACAAAGCUAAGCAAAAAUGGAGAAUAUUACUGAAGAGUCAGCUCUGCACCAGGAUGAUUUAUGCUACUGUAUGAUGUGAGAAAUCCUGCAUCUUUGGCUGUAUGUGGGGCCUACUCCAACCGAUAAGGUACAAUGGGUUUGAAUGAUCUUCAGGACCUCUGGACUGAACACAGCAGAGACCCAACAUGUCUGAAGUUUCUGAGUCCCACUGUAAGACUCACAGGACUGUUCCUCUUCCCCAGACACACUGGAGCUCACAUGCAGGUUCAUGAGGCGUCAUCUGCACAGGUGAGACCCUGUGUAAACCAGCAAGGACUUUCCUUCUGUUCCUUGCACUUUCAUUUCCAGGGGAAAUAAAGCCAGGCCCACACAGGCUGCAAGAGAAAGUGGCCUCCAACAUUGUCUCUCCUUGAUUCCUGAUCUGGAUAAUCAGAACCCUGAGACACACCAAAGCAUACAGGCAGCCUGGAGAAAAAAAAAAAAAAAUGUGGUAAGUGGUUAUCUGAAUUUGGAUUUUGAGCUUACAUUUGCUUUCCGAUAAGGACUCCUUGAGAGGCUCUAACUAACCAGUACCUUUAUAUAGUGGUAUGCAACUCUUUGUUUUUCUUUAU